rnacentral:rRNA from 1 species
UACGUAGGGCGCAAGCGUUAUCCGGAAUUAUUGGGCGUAAAGAGCUCGUAGGCGGUUUGUCGCGUCUGCCGUGAAAGUCCGGGGCUCAACUCCGGAUCUGCGGUGGGUACGGGCAGACUAGAGUGCGGUAGGGGAGAUUGGAAUUCCUGGUGUAGCGGUGGAAUGCGUAGAUAUCAGGAGGAACACCGGUGGCGAAGGCGGGUCUCUGGACCGUAACUGACGCUGAGGCACGAAAGCGUGGGUAGCAAACAGG